rnacentral:lncRNA from 1 species
ACAAACAUACACACAAAAGAACAAACAUUUCUCCUCCUUUACUCCCUCCACAUAUUAGCCCCCUCUGACUUAAGCUUCGGAGGGCCGGCGCCGGAAAGCCCGGCCACCGGCUUUUUUGCAGGACUCUCCAGGAGGACGCCGCCAGUCGACGCACCGCCAUCCACCGUCCCGGCAGCGGAGCUCCUCCCCCUUCUUGGUUCGCGGUAGCCCCCGGGUCCAAUUUCCAGCAACAGUUGGCGCUAGAGGAAGGGCCCGAGUUGCUGCCAUGAAACUAAGAAGUAAAGGGGCUUCCAAUGCCUCUCGACGUCUUCCACCUAGUCCUGGACACUCUGUCCAGAACUCACCACCUCCGGCCGAGUCAACUCCUCAAGUUCGGCCGGAACAGUUUGAUGCACUGAUGCAACAGGUGCAAGCUUUGGCUACCACUGUCCAAGGCUUACACCCCUGAUGGGACUCCCAUUCCACGAAGCUGGAGUUCUGAAAAUCUCCGCGUGUAUCACCAGUAGGACCCCAAGGGGUCCCCCGCUAUUCAACCAUAUAUUUCAUUUUAUGAUGACUUGUGAUGGCUUGUGUACUUAUUCGAACUCACCAAUUCUCCUAAUUGUCUUAUGGUACCAGGCUCGUUCUCCUACCCCGACCACGGUCGGGAUGCCCCGAUACUUCGGGAUGCGGUCUUCACCGACCAACGAGCUCGGCUUGUUCUCCAUCGGCCAACGAGCUCGGCUCGUUCUCCCACCCCGACCACGGUCGGGAUGCCCCGAUACUUCGGGAUGCGGCCUUCACCGACCAACGAGCUCGGCUCGUUCUCCAUCGACUUCAACCAACGAGCUCGGCUCGUUCUCCUACCCCAACCACGGUCGGGAUGCGGUCUCCAUCGACCAGCGAGCUCGGCUCGUUCUCCUGUUCCUGAUUAGCGAAAAGUCUGUGAUUGGCAA